rnacentral:tRNA from 1 species
GCGGGGGUAGCUCAGUCGUGUGAGCGCCCGCUUCUCACGCCAGAGAUGCGGGUUCGAAUCCCGGCGCUGACA